rnacentral:rRNA from 1 species
UAGGGAAUCUUCCGCAAUGGGCGAAAGCCUGACGGAGCAACGCCGCGUGAGUGAUGAAGGUCUUCGGAUCGUAAAACUCUGUUAUUAGGGAAGAACAAAUGUGUAAGUAACUAUGCACGUCUUGACGGUACCUAAUCAGAAAGCCACGGCUAACUACGUGCCAGCAGCCGCGGUAAUACGUAGGUGGCAAGCGUUAUCCGGAAUUAUUGGGCGUAAAGCGCGCGUAGGCGGUUUUUUAAGUCUGAUGUGAAAGCCCACGGCUCAACCGUGGAGGGUCGUUGGAAACUGGAAAACUUGAGUGCAGAAGAGGAAAGUGGAAUUCCAUGUGUAGCGGUGAAAUGCGCAGAGAUAUGGAGGAACACCAGUGGCGAAGGCGACUUUCUGGUCUGUAACUGACGCUGAUGUGCGAAAGCGUGGGAAUCAAACAGG